ensembl:lncRNA
GAGAACAUGGCGGUGGAAAAGAAGCUGCAGGCUCUGACAGAGAGCCUGGAGGAGACGGAGGCUCAGCUCAGUGCGGUGCUUUCAGCCUCCAACAUGGACCAAACAGCCCUCAGCAGGGUCAUAAAGAAAACUGAGGCACAUAUUGACUCCAAAAAUACUGCCAUCAAGACCCUACAGCACAAAAUAAAUCAAAUUUCCAUGGUCCGCAAGCAUUUGCUGCUGCACACUGAGGUAAAGGCAAAGGCUCUUGGUGUUCCUGUGGAAGCUCCUUUGUAAUUCCCAAUGAGAGGAAUCCUCAUGGUAAAAAUGUGGAGCAGCACUUGGAUUAAAGUGAGAAGCAAAGAUCGGAACACUAUUAUUUCAUUUACAUCUUUUCUGUAAUCUACCUUUAAUGCUCAUAUGACUUUAAGUAGUAAAGAAAUAUAAAUCAAAAUUUAAAAUGGGAUCUCUUAAUCCUGAGGGGGGGGGGGAAAAAAAAAAAAAAAAAAAAAGUUGUGUUGUUUUAGACUAAAGGGUAUGUCAUGCCUCUAUCUGUAGCAUCCUCUGUCACACCAACCCUCAGCAUGUCCUCCUUCAUGACCUCCAUGAAUUUCUCUGUGGCCUUUCUCCUUUAGGCCUGCGUGUCAUCUCCAUAUUUGACAUCCUUUGUCCAGUAUGUCGUCUCUGAAGGGAGCAACUGAAAGAUGAAGAUACUUCAUUGGUCAUUGUCAGGUGUUUUUAAUGACAGUCAAUAGGUGGCGCUAUU